rnacentral:rRNA from 1 species
GACGUAGGGCGCGAGCGUUGUCCGGAUUUAUUGGGCGUAAAGAGCUCGUAGGCGGCUUGUCGCGUCGACUGUGAAACCCGCGGCUCAACUGCGGGCCUGCAGCCGAUACGGGCAGGCUAGAGUUCGGUGAGGGGAGACUGGAAUUCCUGGUGUAGCGGUGAAAUGCGCAGAUAUCAGGAGGAACACCGGUGGCGAAGGCGGGUCUCUGGGCCGAUGACUG